rnacentral:rRNA from 1 species
UUCGCAAUGCCCGAAAGGGUGACGAAGCGACGCCGCGUGCGGGAAGAAGGCCUUCGGGUUGUAAACCGCUGUCGGGAGUUAAGAAAUGUAAGGAUGUUAAUAGCAUCUUUGCUUGACUAAGGCUCCGGAGGAAGCCACGGCUAACUCUGUGCCAGCAGCCGCGGUAAUACAGAGGCGGCAAGCGUUGUUCGGAAUUAUUGGGCGUAAAGAGCACGUAGGCGGCUAUGUAAGUCGGUUGUGAAAGCCUUCCGCUCAACGGGAGAACAGCAUCCGAUACUGCAUGGCUUGAGUGCGGGAGGGGAGAGUGGAACUUCUGGUGGAGCGGUGAAAUGCGUAGAUAUCAGAAGGAACGCCGGCGGCGAAAGCGGCUCUCUGGCCCAUAACUGACGCUGAGUGUGCGAAAGCUAGGGGAGCAAGCGGGAUUAGAUACCCCGGUAGUCCUAGCCGUAAACGAUGGGCACUAAGUAGAGGGGUUUU